rnacentral:rRNA from 1 species
AGUGAACGCUGGCGGUAGGCCUAACACAUGCAAGUCGAACGGCAGCACAGGAGAGCUUGCUCUCUGGGUGGCGAGUGGCGGACGGGUGAGGAAUACAUCGGAAUCUACUCUGUCGUGGGGGAUAACGUAGGGAAACUUACGCUAAUACCGCGUACGACCUACGGGUGAAAGCAGGGGAUCUUCGGACCUUGCGCGAUUGAAUGAGCCGAUGUCGGAUUAGCUAGUUGGCGGGGUAAAGGCCCACCAAGGCGACGAUCCGUAGCUGGUCUGAGAGGAUAAUCAGACACACUGGAACUGAGACACGGUCCAGACUCCUACGGGAGGCAGCAGUGGGGAAUAUUAGACAAUGGGCGCAGGCCUGAUCCAGCCGUACCGCGUGGGUGAAGAAGGCCUUCGGGUUGUAAAGCCCUUUUGUUGGGAAAGAAAUCCAGCUGGCUAAUACCCGGUUGGGAUGACGGUACCCAAAGAAUAAGCACCGGCUAACUUCGUGCCAGCAGCCGCCGCGG